CAGUAGCCCGGGAAUACAGAGGGUGCGAGCGUUAAUCGGAUUUACUGGGCGUAAAGCGUGCGUAGGCGGCUUUUUAAGUCGGAUGUGAAAUCCCUGAGCUUAACUUAGGAAUUGCAUUCGAUACUGGGAAGCUAGAGUAUGGGAGAGGAUGGUAGAAUUCCAGGUGUAGCGGUGAAAUGCGUAGAGAUCUGGAGGAAUACCGAUGGCGAAGGCAGCCAUCUGGCCUAAUACUGACGCUGAGGUACGAAAGCAUGGGGAGCAAACAGGAUUAGAUACCCCAGUAGUCCCUGUCUCUUAUACA
rnacentral:rRNA from 1 species